CAGGCUUAACACAUGCAAGUCGAGGGGCAGCAUAGUCUUAGCUUGCUAAGGCCGAUGGCGACCGGCGCACGGGUGAGUAACACGUAUCCAACCUGCCGUCUACUCUUGGACAGCCUUCUGAAAGGAAGAUUAAUACAAGAUGGCAUCAUGAGUCCGCAUGUUCACAUGAUUAAAGGUAUUCCGGUAGACGAUGGGGAUGCGUUCCAUUAGAUAGUAGGCGGGGUAACGGCCCACCUAGUCUUCGAUGGAUAGGGGUUCUGAGAGGAAGGUCCCCCACAUUGGAACUGAGACACGGUCCAAACUCCUACGGGAGGCAGCAGUGAGGAAUAUUGGUCAAUGGGCGAGAGCCUGAACCAGCCAAGUAGCGUGAAGGAUGACUGCCCUAUGGGUUGUAAACUUCUUUUAUAAAGGAAUAAAGUCGGGUAUGGAUACCCGUUUGCAUGUACUUUAUGAAUAAGGAUCGGCUAACUCCGUGCCAGCAGCCGCGGUAAUACGGAGGAUCCGAGCGUUAUCCGGAUUUAUUGGGUUUAAAGGGAGCGUAGAUGGAUGUUUAAGUCAGUUGUGAAAGUUUGCGGCUCAACCGUAAAAUUGCAGUUGAUACUGGAUAUCUUGAGUGCAGUUGAGGCAGGCGGAAUUCGUGGUGUAGCGGUGAAAUGCUUAGAUAUCACGAAGAACUCCGAUUGCGAAGGCAGCCUGCUAAGCUGCAACUGACAUUGAGGCUCGAAAGUGUGGGUAUCAAACAGGAUUAGAUACCCUGGUAGUCCACACGGUAAACGAUGAAUACUCGCUGUUUGCGAUAUACUGCAAGCGGCCAAGCGAAAGCGUUAAGUAUUCCACCUGGGGAGUACGCCGGCAACGGUGAAACUCAAAGGAAUUGACGGGGGCCCGCACAAGCGGAGGAACAUGUGGUUUAAUUCGAUGAUACGCGAGGAACCUUACCCGGGCUUAAAUUGCAGAUGAAUUACGGUGAAAGCCGUAAGCCGCAAGGCAUCUGUGAAGGUGCUGCAUGGUUGUCGUCAGCUCGUGCCGUGAGGUGUCGGCUUAAGUGCCAUAACGAGCGCAACCCUUGUUGUCAGUUACUAACAGGUUCCGCUGAGGACUCUGACAAGACUGCCAUCGUAAGAUGUGAGGAAGGUGGGGAUGACGUCAAAUCAGCACGGCCCUUACGUCCGGGGCUACACACGUGUUACAAUGGGGGGUACAGAGGGCCGCUACCACGCGAGUGGAUGCCAAUCCCCAAAACCUCUCUCAGUUCGGACUGGAGUCUGCAACCCGACUCCACGAAGCUGGAUUCGCUAGUAAUCGCGCAUCAGCCACGGCGCGGUGAAUACGUUCCCGGGCCUUGUACACACCGCCCGUCAAGCCAUGGGAGCCGGGGGUACCUGAAGUGCGUAACCGCGAGGAGCGCCCUAGGGUAAAACUGGUGACUGGGGCUAAGUCGUA
rnacentral:rRNA from 1 species